GUGUCGCCUCAGCGGCAGAUUUGCUCCGUCUCCUAAACUGCCUUCAUCCUAAAAUUAGCUGCCACCGACAAAGCCUUAAUGUCAUUAGCAUGGAGUUGGCAGCCGCCAACGCCCGCUGAUCACCGCGCCGCACAGCGCCGCGCCGCGCCCUUCCUUCCUUGGUUCUGGGUGGACAACGUGGAGAAAGUGACGCCCCCGGUUAGCGUGAAGCGUGCACGGCUUCCCUCGUCUGAUCUUGUCCUCCAUGCACAGUAAAGGCUCAAGUUCCAGCCAGAAAAACAGCAGGAUGCUACCAUCACCAUGCAGGUCUAAAGAAUCUCAACUAUGGGACAUCUGGAAUUCCAACGGAAAUGACCAGAGUGGAGGUGACUGAAGACGCAGAAGGAGACUUGGUUACACAACCAAGCUGAAUGUGCACUUGGAAACCAGGCAGCCCUUCUCACCAAAGCAGAAAUUCAUUGAAAAUUCAUUGAGAUUGAAUUGAUGAAUAUAAAAAUAUAGAAUAAAAUAACUUCUGUUCUGAUCCUUUAAGGCUUACAAACAGAAAGAUAUCAAUUACGGGCAAAAUAUUGGACUGCUUGGCAAUACUUUGUAUCAUUUUACAAUUGAGAGAAAAAUGGCACUCAGGCACUUUAUAACAGGAUGUGGCUAUAUAUAACUCGUUAGGCCAAGCUUAUAUUCAGUUGCUGUGUGUGUGUGUGUGGGGGAGGAUUAAUGGGAGAACUUUGGAUCUGCUCAAUGUCAUUUUUUUGUGUGGAACAGAGGCAAGUAAAGUGAAUUGUUGGAAUUCAGGAAUGCAUUUAGCAACUAACAACCACGAGUUGCACCUCCACAUUUUCGAGUUUUGCAACAUCAGACAGCAUCCAAACCGCUCCAUCUCAGUCUUGGUGCUUGGUGGCAUGUGUACGUGUCAAGUUGUUUCCGGGGGGGGGUGACCAUGACAAUGUCUCGCCGAUCGCACCCUCAAAGUGGGAACUAACGGAACGCGGCAGGAGCGGCAGUCAAAACAGAUCAACCUUCGGGGCUGAAAUUCAGGGAAAAAAGUUCCUUCCGUCAUGUGGGAUCACACUCAAGGUCAUGGUGUGUGUGUGUGUGUUUGUUUUGGUGAUGAGUGGGCGAGUAGUGACACGCACACACACACACACACACACACACACACACACACACACACACACACACACACACGCUUGUCAAAUGACAUUAAGCCCAGCCUCAAAGUGAACCUCCAUUUUGCACUCAGCGCAGAGACAAUGCUUUCCACUGUUAAACAGCAUCCUGAGUCAUUAUGGCUGCCUUUCAUUCAUGUGUGAUGUACAAGGUCGUGUGUGUGUGUGUGUGUGUCUUUUCACAUUAUUGAAAUGUUUUCAUAUCUUGGGAGGUUCAAAGAUGGCGCCUUUGAGUCGGCAGCUUGUUAUAACAGCUCCGCUAGUUUUCAUAUUCAUUUCUUCUCUCCACCCUUUGUAUGUUAUUUUACUGCUCUGUGUCAAGGUCAUUGUCACGGGCCACAUGAUAGUGAUGGUUUCCCUGUUAUGACUGUCAACCCAAAUCAAUGUUAUAUUCUCACAUAUACGCAGCAACAUGAUGGAUAACGUGUUUUGAAAUCAGAGGUUAAGCUAUUUUUCAAUUGAUUUGAA